GGCGUAGCUCAACUGGCAGAGCAGCUGAUUUGUAAUCAGCAGGUUGCGGGUUCAAGUCCCAUCGCC
rnacentral:tRNA from 1 species